AGAGCGCAGGGUGAAUGCCUUGGCACCAAGAGCCGAAGAAGGACGUGGUUAACUGCGAAAAGCCAUGGGGAGCCGUAAGCAGGCUUUGAUCCAUGGAUAUCCGAAUGGGGAAACCCGGUACGAGUAAUCGUAUCACUCUUACAUAAAUACAUAGUGUAAGAGAGGGAACCCGGUGAACUGAAACAUCUAAGUAGCCGGAGGAAGAGAAAGAAACAUCGAUUUUCUUAGUAGCGGCGAGCGAACGGGAAAGAGCCCAAACCAGUGGUCUACGGACCGUUGGGGUUUAGGACCGGCAGGAUCUUCAAUAUUCCGAGUUGAAAGUUGUUGGAAAGCAGUACGAGACAGGGUAAAAGUCCCGUAAACGAAGGAAUAGAGAAGAGGCUGGUAUCCAGAGUACCACAGGACACGAGGAAUCCGGUGGGAAGACGGGGGGACCACCCCCCAAGGCUAAAUACUACUUGGUGACCGAUAGAGAAUAGUACCGUGAGGGAAAGGUGAAAAGCACCCCGGGAGGGGAGUGAAAGAGAACCUGAAACCCUGUGUUUACAAGCAGAGGGAGCGAAAGCGACCUCGUACUUUUUGUAGAACGGGCCUGCGAGUUACUGUGUGUAGCGAGGUUAAGUUGUAGAGCGACGGAGCCGUAGGGAAACCGAGUCUCAAAUGGGCGUAUAGUUGCACACAGUAGACCCGAAACCGGGUGACCUAUCCAUGGACAGGCUGAAGCGGCGGUAAGACGCCGUGGAGGGCCGAACCAGACGUAUGUUGAAAAAUGCGGGGAUGAGCUGUGGAUAGCGGAGAAAUUCCAAUCGAACUCGGAGAUAGCUGGUUCUCCCCGAAAUAGCUUUAGGGCUAGCCUCGUAAGAGAUUACCGGGGGUAGAGCACUGAAUGGAUAAGGGGGCCACAAAGCUUACCAAGUCCUAUCAAACUACGAAUACCGGAUAAUUGAUUUACGGGAGUCACACGGCGAGAGAUAAGUUCCGUCGUGGAAAGGGAAACAGCCCAGAUCAACGACUAAGGUCCCUAAGUAACGGUUAAGUGGGAAAGGAUGUGCAACUGCACAAACAACCAGGAUGUUGGCUUAGAAGCAGCCAUUCAUUUAAAGAGUGCGUAAUAGCUCACUGGUCGAGUGGAUGUGCGCCGAUAAUAUACCGGGGCUAAACCGUACACCGAAGUCUUGGGAUCACGCAAGUGAUCGGUAGGGGAGCAACGAAUACGGACUGAAGCGGGAGCGUAAGCGACCGUGGACUGUAUUGGAGAGAGAAUGCAGGCAUAAGUAGCGAGAGCGAAGUGAGAAUCUUUGCCGUCGAAAGCCUAAGGUUUCCUGAGGAAGGUUCGUCCUCUCAGGGUAAGUCGGGACCUAAGCCGAGGACAGUAGUCGUAGGCGAUGGACAUCAGGUUGAUAUUCCUGAACCGCAAGCAGGUGAUUGACAGAAGCAGUGACGCAGAAGGAUAGGCGAGUCCGGCGAUGGUAGACCGGAUGAAAGCAGUGAGGCUGGUGUGUAGUGAAGUACGCACACUAAGGCUGGGCUGUGAGAGCUACGAAGACUAGUAGGAAGCUCGCUGAAUUCACGCUGACAAGAAAAGCUGCUAUGGAAUCUGCAGGCGCCCGUACCGCAAACCGACACAGGUGGGCGAGGAGAGAAUCCUAAGACGAACGGGAGAACCCUUGUUAAGGAACUCGGCAAAAUGACCCUGUAACUUCGGGAUAAAGGGAGCCCCGCAAGGGGCCGCAGAGAAUAGGCACAAGCGACUGUUUAGCAAAAACACAGGUCUGUGCGAAGUAGAGAUACGACGUAUACGGGCUGACUCCUGCCCAGUGCCGGAAGGUUAAGGGGAAGUGUUAGGGCAACCGAAGCACGGAACUUAAGCCCCGGUGAACGGCGGCCGUAACUAUAACGGUCCUAAGGUAGCGAAAUUCCUUGUCGGGUAAGUUCCGACCCGCACGAAUGGCGUAACGACUUGGGCACUGUCUCAACAAGGGACCCGGCGAAAUUGUAGUAUGUGUGAAGAUGCACAUUACCCGCGAUAGGACGGAAAGACCCCGUAGAGCUUUACUGUAGUUUGGCAUUGGAUUUUGGUAACGGAUGUACAGCAUAGGUGGGAGGCGAUGAAACCAGGACGCCAGUUCUGGCGGAGCCGACGUUGGGAUACCACUCUUUUGUUACUGGGGUUCUAACGGAUGGCCGUAAACCGGCAUCCGAACAGUGCCAGAUGGGCAGUUUGACUGGGGCGGUCGCCUCCGAAAGAGUAACGGAGGCGUUCAAAGGUUCCCUCAGAAUGGUUGGAAACCAUUCGAAGAGUGCAAAGGCAGAAGGGAGCCUGACUGCGAGACGGACACGUCGAGCAGGGAGGAAACUCGGACUUAGUGAUCCGGCGGUAUGAGAGUGGAAUUGCCGUCGCUCAACGGAUAAAAGCUACCUCGGGGAUAACAGGCUGAUCUCCCCCAAGAGUUCACAUCGACGGGGAGGUUUGGCACCUCGAUGUCGGCUCGUCGCAUCCUGGGGCUGGAGCAGGUCCCAAGGGUUUGGCUGUUCGCCAAUUAAAGCGGCACGCGAGCUGGGUUCAGAACGUCGUGAGACAGUUCGGUCCCUAUCCAUCGUGGGCGCAGGAGAUUUGAAGGGUGCUGUCCCUAGUACGAGAGGACCAGGAUGGACGCACCAAGGGUGUAUCAGUUGUCGUGCCAACGGCACAGCUGGGUAGCCAUGUGCGGAGCGGAUAAACGCUGAAGGCAUCUAAGCGUGAAACCGACCCUAAGAUAAGAUCUCCCACUCGCAAGAGGUAAGACCCCUGGAAGACUACCAGGUUGAUAGGUCGGAGGUGGAAGCGCAGCAAUGUGCGCAGCUGACCGAUACUAAUAGGUCGAGGGCUUGUUCA
rnacentral:rRNA from 1 species